UACGUAGGGUGCAAGCGUUAAUCGGAAUUACUGGGCGUAAAGCGUGCGCAGGCGGUUUUGUAAGUCUGAUGUGAAAUCCCCGGGCUCAACCUGGGAAUUGCAUUGGAGACUGCAAGGCUAGAAUCUGGCAGAGGGGGGUAGAAUUCCACGUGUAGCAGUGAAAUGCGUAGAGAUGUGGAGGAACACCGAUGGCGAAGGCAGCCCCCUGGGUCAAGAUUGACGCUCAUGCACGAAAGACGUGGGGAGCAAC
rnacentral:rRNA from 1 species